UGAGUAACCUGCCCUUCACUCUGGGAUAACUCCGGGAAACCGGGGCUAAUACUGGAUAUGACUCGAACAGGCAUCUGUUUCGGGUGGAAAGAUUUAUUGGUGGAGGAUGGACUCGCGGCCUAUCAGCUUGUUGGUGAGGUAAUGGCUCACCUAGGCGACGACGGGUAGCCGGCCUGAGAGGGCGAUCGGCCACACUGGGACUGAGACACGGCCCAGACUCCUACGGGAGCA
rnacentral:rRNA from 1 species